rnacentral:rRNA from 1 species
UACGGGGGGUGCGAGCGUUGUCCGGAAUCACUGGGCGUAAAGGGCGCGUAGGCGGUUUGGUAAGGCUGUGGUGAAAGCCCGGGGCUCAACCCCGGGUCUGCCGUGGCGACUGUCAGACUGGAGGGCUCGAGAGGCAGACGGAAUUCCGGGUGUAGCGGUGGAAUGCGUAGAGAUCCGGAAGAAGACCGGUGGCGAAGGCGGUCUGCUGGCGAGUACCUGACGCUGAUGCGCGACAGCGUGGGGAGCAAACAGG